rnacentral:rRNA from 1 species
CCUACGGGUGGCAGCAGUGAGGAAUAUUGGUCAAUGGGCGCGAGCCUGAACCAGCCAAGUCGCGUGAGGGAGGACGGCCCUACGGGUUGUAAACCUCUUUUGCCGGGGAGCAACGGGCGUCACGUGUGGCGCCACUGAGAGUACCCGGAGAAAAAGCAUCGGCUAACACCGUGCCGGCAGCCCGGGUAAUCCGGGGGAUGCGAGCUUUACCCGGAUUUUUUGGGUUUAAAGGGUCCGAAGGCGGAUCGUUAAGUCAGUGGUCAAAUUGGGGGUCUCAACCCCUUCCCGCCAUUGAAACUGGCGUUCUUGAGUGGAAGAGAAGUAUGCGGAAUGCGUGGUGUAGCGGUGAAAUGCAUAGAUAUCACGCAGAACCCCGAUUGCGAAGGCAGCAUGCCGGCUUCCGACUGACGCUGAAGCACGAAAGCGUGGGGAUCGAACAGGAUUAGAUACCCGUGUAGUC